rnacentral:tRNA from 1 species
ACUCGUUUAGCUCAGUCGUUAGAGCAUCAGACUUAUAAUUUGUGGGUUAAGGGUUCAAGUCCCUAAUCACGCG